ACCUUACUUCCACCAAUCAAUCACACAAAUUGUUCUAGCUACACCAGACAAUACUUGUCCAGAGCCGAAGAUACAUUUAGCCACCUACAAAUAACAUACAAAACUGUUGCAAAGACUACACACUCGAAAAAUAGAUAAGAAAUUGUCUCUUAUUUCUACACCCUCCAACACAUUGCAAUGAUUCCUUUAUGAAUUACAUAGCUCAUGAACAUAUUAUCCUCUAAACUAAACAUAUAGUAAGACUAUAACGAAUUUUACACUACCCCAUCCAAACCGAUUAAAUGGGCACCCUAUUCCAGCUUUGCGCCGGCUUCAAUUUGAACGCUUCCAAUCAUCUUCACGCUCAAGCUUCUACUACAAAUUGCAAGUUCGCCGGUCAAUCAGUGAGAGCACUUCCUAUACGGAUAUUAUCCGUGGGGAAAAAACGAUCACAAGGACUGCAACUCAUGGUUGACGAGUAUGUCGAAAAGAUAAAAUAUUAUUGCAGUGUUGAGGAUGUUCAAAUUCGGCCAAAUCCCAGAAAUGCACGUGAUCAUAGGGCGCAAGUUGAUGACGAAGACAUGGCAGUGAUGAAUAUUAUAAGGUCUGAUGAUUGGGUUGUGAUGUUGGAUGAACAUGGGCAAGAUGUACGGUCUGAGCAAAUGGCAGAGUUGGUGGCUGAUGCAGGAAAUACUAGACAUUUGAUUGCACUGGCGCGAGUUCGAACCCUUGACGUCCCACUUAUCACUUUUAAGGGGGUGCUUCACGUAUAUCUUUCUGUAUUGGCGGACCCUAUGGUCAUGGAAGAAAAAUAAGGGAACGUGCUAACUUAUCAAUCAAGUUAUCUUCAAUGGUUUUAAAUCAUCAAAUAGCGUUACUUGUGCUUGUGGAACAGAUUUACAGGUCAUGGACAAUUUUAAGGGGACAAAAGUACCAUCAUUAGCGGCAGUUUUUCACCCCAGUCCGCCAGAGUGGAGCAACAAAAAAAAAGACAGUUUUUUCACUGUUGAAUAAUUAGAGUUCGCCAACGUGGAAUUACUGUUGCCUCAGCAACCAACGAUGCUCCACAGUACUACUUAGUUGCGAUCAAACUACUAACAUUUAAUUAAUUUUUCACAAUUACAUUUAGUUAAAAAGUAUUUUAAAUUUCUCCAUUACAAUUUCAUCUUUUUAUUUUUAAUUUCAUUUUAUUUUUAAAAAAUAUUACAUUCACCUCAUAAUUUUAAUUUAUUUAUAUAUUUUAA